rnacentral:rRNA from 1 species
GACGAACGCUGGCGGCGUGCUUAACACAUGCAAGUCGAACGGAAAGGCCCUGCUUUUGUGGGGUGCUCGAGUGGCGAACGGGUGAGUAACACGUGAGUAACCUGCCCUUGACUUUGGGAUAACUUCAGGAAACUGGGGCUAAUACCGGAUAGGAGCUCCUGCUGCAUGGUGGGGGUUGGAAAGUUUCGGCGGUUGGGGAUGGACUCGCGGCUUAUCAGCUUGUUGGUGGGGUAGUGGCUUACCAAGGCUUUGCCGGGUAGCCGGCCUGAGAGGGUGACCGGCCACAUUGGGACUGGGAUCCGGCCCAGCCUCCUACGGGAGGCAGCAGUGGGGAAUAUUGCACAAUGGGCGGAAGCCUGAUGCAGCAACGCCGCGUGCGGGAUGACGGCCUUCGGUUUGUAAACCGCUUUCGCCUGUGACGAAGCGUGAGUGACGGUAAUGGGUAAAGAAGCACCGGCUAACUACGUG